GCGUUUGCUUCGGCAGCACAUAUGCUAAAACUAGAAUGAUACAGAGAAGACUAACAUGGCCCCUGUGCAAGGAUGACACAUUUGUGAAACGUUUCAUAUUUUU
rnacentral:snRNA from 1 species